rnacentral:lncRNA from 1 species
GCACCAAUUCUGUUGGUACAGAAUUCUGCCGACGUCGAAGAAGCUAGAGUUGAGAUGACCGCGGCCACCGUCGGGACCUGCAAAGGAAGUCUAAACCAGAGUUGGGGGUGCUCCGACAAGACCCUCCGACCCUCAAGUCAGUACUCUGCUUCAACAGAAAUGGAAUGCUCAAAUGGGAUUUUGGUAGAGUUUCGAGAUAGAGUUU